rnacentral:rRNA from 1 species
CCAUGCCGCGUGUGUGAAGAAGGCUUCGGGUUGUAAAGCACUUUCAGCGAGGAGGAAAGGUUGGCAGCUAAUAUCUGUCAGCUGUGACGUUACUCGCAGAAGAAGCACCGGCUAACUCCGUGCCAGCAGCCGCGGUAAUACGGAGGGUGCAAGCGUUAAUCGGAAUUACUGGGCGUAAAGCGCACGCAGGCGGUUGGAUAAGUUAGAUGUGAAAGCCCCGGGCUCAACCUGGGAAUUGCAUUUAAAACUGUUCAGCUAGAGUCUUGUAGAGGGGGGUAGAAUUCCAGGUGUAGCGGUGAAAUGCGUAGAGAUCUGGAGGAAUACCGGUGGCGAAGGCGGCCCCCUGGACAAAGACUGACGCUCAGGUGCGAAAGCGUGGGGACAAACAGGAUUAGAUCCCUGGUAGUCCACCCGUAAACGAUGUCGAUUUGGANGCUGUGUCCUUGAGACGUGCUUCCGGA